AGGCAGUGGCACAUGCCUAUGGUCCCAGCUACUCAGAAGUCUGAGGCAGGAGGAUCGGUUGAGCCCAGGAGUUCCAGGCCGUAGUGCACUUUGCCGAUCUGGUGAGCACAAUGAGUUCGGCAUCAAUAUGGUGACCUCCUAGGGGGGCCACCAAGUUGCAUCAAGAAGGGUAAACCAGCCCAAGUUAGAAAUGGAACAGGUCAAAACUCCUGUGCUGAUCAGUAGUAGGAUUGCACCUGUGAAUAGCCACUGUACUCCAGCCUGGGCAUUGCAGCAAAAA
ensembl:misc_RNA Metazoa_SRP Metazoan signal recognition particle RNA